rnacentral:rRNA from 1 species
CGUCAAGUCAGCAUGGCCUUGAUGUCCAGGGCGACACACACGCUACAAUGGCCGGUACAAUGGGGCGCCAACCCGCGAGGGGGAGCUAAUCCGAUAAAACCGUUCUCAGUUCGGAUUGUAGGCUGCAACUCGCCUACAUGAAGCCGGAAUCGCUAGUAAUCGCGGAUCAGCAUGCCGCGGUGAAUACGUUCCCGGGCCUU